GGCGGGUUGGCANACUGGUUAUGCAGCGGAUUGCAAAUCCGUGGACCUCGGUUCGACUCCGGGACCCGCCUCCA
rnacentral:tRNA from 1 species